CGCGAGAUAGAGCAGCGGGUAGCUCGCUUGGUUCAUAACCAAGAGGUCGUGGGUUCGAAUCCCACUCUCGCAA
rnacentral:tRNA from 2 species